UGGGGAAUAUUGGGCAAUGGGCGCAAGCCUGACCCAGCAACGCCGCGUGAAGGAAGAAGGCUUUCGGGUUGUAAACUUCUUUUAGCAGGGACGAAACAAAUGACGGUACCUGCAGAAUAAGCUCCGGCUAACUACGUGCCAGCAGCCGCGGUAAUACGUAGGGAGCAAGCGUUAUCCGGAUUUACUGGGUGUAAAGGGCGCGUAGGCGGGACUGCAAGUCAGGUGUGAAAUCUGGUGGCUCAACCACCAAACUGCACUUGAAACUGUGGUUCUUGAGUGAUGGAGAGGCAAGUGGAAUUCCUAGUGUAGCGGUGAAAUGCGUAGAUAUUAGGAGGAACACCAGUGGCGAAGGCGACUUGCUGGACAUUAACUGACGCUGAGGCGCGAAAGCGUGGGGAGCAAACAGG
rnacentral:rRNA from 1 species